CAAUCGAGACACUUCUCCUUCGCGAUGUUUCUUCCAGACCCCGGCCUCGACCGCUGCACCUCGGCGACGCCGUCGUCCUCCCUCGGCGGCUGCCUCCUAGCGCCGUGGCCGCAUCUCAGGCCCUGAGCCGGCACAUGGGUGGUCCUCUCUCUCCUGUUCCACCUCUCUCUCUGUUCCUCUCCUGACGCGGGUGGAGCGGCGGCGGCCUCGGCAUGCGGCGUAGCCCGACGGCGUGCGGCCCGCUGGCCUCCUCCAGGUGUUCCCUGUGCCAUCCACGAAACCCUAGCAGCCUCUUCCUCGCUGGCGACGGUGGCCGCGGCUUAGCUCAGGGCUCUAUCUAGCGGUAUGUGACCAUCCUCGUCUCCUACUUCCCCUCCUGACAGUUGUGCAUGUUGUGAGAUCCACCACAGCUCCUCAGUCCUUCUGCUCCUGAAUCAAGGCGACGAUGGUUGGCUAUCCUGCGUUGCCGCGGUCGGCGAGAUACAGCGGGUACCCUGCGCUGCACAUCUGUGCUAGGCCGCUGGCCCCUGUUGGGACUGGAUAGUGCCUCUACAUCUAUCUCCUACUAUAAGAGAGAGCAAAUUAAUUUGGAGAUAGUGACAUAGUGCUAUGUUUUCUAUUGUGCAGGUUGACUUAAUGCUUCAUUAAAUUGAUCAGCCCUUGCAUGAUGCUUUGUGCAAUGUUAAGAAAACCCUGCAAUUGAAUACGGUGACAACUUUUUCAAAGAUGUGAGCUAUAUUAUUAUUAUUAGUAUUGAGGUUGUAUGUGUUGAGCCCUUCUCUGCUUGAAAAAAAGAAGCCAUGAAGCAUGGAGGCAAACAUAAUUGCAAAUCGAUCUGAGCUGCCUAAAUUUGAGUUUGAGUAUUGGGAGAGCUGAAUGCUUCUCCAAUUUUAGAGUUCACCUCAGCUUACAUGCUGCACCAAGUCACCCUCAAACAGUCCUGGGCUCCGACACGUAGGCAGAAGUUGAUUUAUUUGGUCUACACUCAACUUACUGCAAUUUCAAUUCUUUUUACCGUUGGAGGUGAACCAGGAAUCAUUUAAAAAUGAUUUUACCUGCGGCAGUUGGUUGAGUAGAGAACACCAUCUAAUUAGCAAACUAUUUUUUAAUGUUCCAUUUGUACAUAGUUGUUUGGUAAAAGAAAUGUUUUACAUGAGUUGCUUAUGAAACAAAAAACUUCUUUGGGUGGUACUAAGGAUUGUUUGCUUCUUACCUGAUGUGGUGCGCUAGAAUGGGUUACUUUCAUAACAUCUGUACUUACCGUACCUCCAAUCUUAAGUUUUCAUAAUAUACUUUUUUA